UGGGAUCUGUGGUGCUUUCCAUUGUGCUGGACUGGAUGAUUCAGGAUUGCAUAAUAAUUUCCUGCUUUUUGUCUACUUCUCAGAGCAUUCAUGAGAGCAAGGAGCUGAAUGGUGUCCAGGUGGAAAGCAAACACUGUGCCACAUAGCUUACAGCAGGAUUUCACUUCAUGUGGAAUAUUUGCCAUCAAAUAUGCUGAGAAAGUCCUGGCAGAGGAGUCUACUACUUUCCCAAACUCUGAAGCGGCAGUGGUUAACUACAGAUGAGGAAAAUUCUGUAACACUUCUCAAUGAGGCUGAUGAUCUCAGUGAGCUGUGCCACUGCUGUGGAGAGGGAGAAGAAGCGCGAGGAGGAGGGUCUCAAGACAGACCUGAGGCCACUGACUGGAUCUAGUGUGUCACCUGUGGACGGUGGUACCACGAGGGUUGUGUUGGGAGGCCCGACAGAGAUCAUUUGUACAGCUGUCCUGCAUGCCCCCAGGCUCAAAUGUUCUAGUGACGUUUCUCAAGUUUUCCUGGUUCCAAUAAACGUCACUGGCGACUGACUGUGUUAAGUGUUAAUAUAUGUGUCAAGUGUUAAUAUAUGAUUACGGCCUUACUUUGAAGGGACAACGUGAUGACGUUACUACGUUCUUGUGAAGCAACGCGCGGGUCAACUGUCCCGUUGUUCUUUUGUUGUUGUUGGAACUGACUGGACAGUAUUCAGUCAUGUAUUCUAGAGAAUAAAUACGCCAAAGGCUAAAGAAAACAUGUCGAUCUGCUUAUU